GUCUACGACCAUGCCACUCUGAAUGCACCCAGUCUUGUGGGAUCUCGGACACUAAGCAGGGUCAGGCCUGGUUAGAACUUGGGUGGGAGAAUUAACGUUUCAAUCCCAGCACCCUUUGGAUCUGGAGGAGGGGACA
rnacentral:rRNA from 1 species